rnacentral:tRNA from 1 species
GUGAAGUUAUCAUAAUUGGUUAAUGACCAUGAUUGUGAAUCAUGAUUAUAUGGGUUCGAGUCCCAUACUUCACCCCA